UAAUCCUGUGAAAACCAGGACUCUACUGUAUCAUUCUGCCCAACGUUUCCUGGUCUUUUUAUACAUACUGAAGUUGUUUUGUUAUACUGUGACAAAAAUACAGUCCACAAACACACCGAACAUCCUCUAAUCUACAAACAGGCUUAGAGCAAACAUAUUUUUGUGCACUGGAAAAAGGCUUUGUCUAAUAUUACACAACGACAUGCUCUGGGAUCUGCGGCGCAAAUCCAAAACUCAAACAAAGUUCCUUUGAUAUUCCUGCCCAUGCUGGGAGGAAAGAAAACAGCAGAUGUACACUAGCGGACGAGGAGAAACACGCAUCCCGCACAGCGCGAACAUGGGAGGGGAAAAGACGCGACAGGAGGUUUCCAUCUUCUCUGGCUUUAUCAAGCCGCUGGCCGUCGCCCGGAGAUGAAUCACGACUUGGACAGCUUGAAACGGACCAGCGAAGGUAUUCUCCCACAGUUCAGGGAUGCUCAUGAUGGAGAACUGUCAAAAGGCCAGAGACUUUGACUGGCCCCAAGAAGUGCAGCGACAUGCUGCCCUCUAGUGGAACACCAGGGUAUUAAAGAUAAGAACAGGUUAGAGCGUGGUUGUGUACCUGUGGAGAACACGAGGAUCGUGUUGUCCCAAAGUCCUUCCUGCUGCAAAGCCAGGCUGAUGUUGCCCAC